rnacentral:tRNA from 1 species
GCCUUCGUGGUGUAGUGGUCAGCACGUUUGGCGUGUAUCAAGAAGUCCGUGGUUCGAGUCCCGCUGAGGGCA